rnacentral:rRNA from 1 species
CACGCCGUAAACGAUGGGUACUAGGUGUUGGGGGUAUCGACUCCCUCAGUGCCGGAGUUAACACAUUAAGUACCCCGCCUGGGGAGUACGUUCGCAAGAAUGAAACUCAAAGGAAUUGACGGGGGCCCGCACAAGCGGUGGAGCAUGUGGUUUAAUUCGACGCAACGCGAAGAACCUUACCAAGGCUUGACAUCCCUCUGGCCGGACUUUAAUCGGUCCUUUUCUUCGGAACAGAGGAGACAGGUGG